GACGAACGCUGGCGGCGUGCUUAAUACAUGCAAGUCAACUGAACUUGAGGUAGCAAUAUUUCAAGGGAGGUGGCGCACGGGUGAGUAACACGUAGGUAAUCUGCCUUUAGGUCUGACAUAAUUCCGCGAAAGCGGGACUAAUAUCAGAUGAUGCAGCGGCUCGACAUCGAGACAGUUGUUAAACCUUCGGGGCCUAAAGAUGAGCCUGCGUCUGAUUAGGAGUUGGCGGAGUAAAAGCCCACCAAGCCUGCGAUCAGUAGCUGGUCUGAGAGGAUGAUCAGCCACACUGGAACUGAGACACGGUCCAGACUCCUACGGGAGGCAGCAGUAAGGAAUAUUGCU
rnacentral:rRNA from 1 species